rnacentral:lncRNA from 1 species
UAGCUAACUAGUAAUCUAUAGAAACCAAGAUUUAAAAUACAUAUUUUAAAUAUGUAUUUAUAUUUCAUAUGUAUUCUCCCAAAAGAAAUACAUAGGUGUAACAAACUUGUACAGUAUUUAUAUACCAAAUCUACAAAACACUGAUGAAAGAAAUCAAAGACCUAAACAAGACAGUGUGACUGCCAAACACUCAAGACAAUAACAAUAUCAAUUGUUUUCAAUUUGACAUACAGAUUGAACAAAAGUCCUAACACCACAGCAAGAUGUUUUGAAGGUAAAGACAAGAUUCUAAAAUUUAUAUGGAAAGGCCAAGAAACUAGAAUUGUUUUCAAAAAUUUUAAGGAAGAAUAAAAUGGGAGAAAUCACUACCUGAUUUCAAGAUAAGUAGCUGCAAUAAUCAGGAGUGCAUGGUAUUAGCAGAAGAAUGGAUACAAUGGAAUAGAAUAGAGAACCAAAUACAUACCCAUGUGAUUAUGCUCAAGUGAUUUUAGACAAGGGUUCAAAAGUAAUCUAGUAGAGGACAAUAGCCUUUUCAACAAAUGAUGCUGAAGAACUUGGACAAUCCUGGCUUAAAUAUCUUGACCUUAACUUCACAGCAGGACAGAUUAUUUAAUGUAGGAGAAGAAAUCCUGGUGUGCUAUUGUACAGUAGAUGGUGGUUAAUUGGUCAACCUGAGUAAGGAACGCCCCUCUGAGUUAAGUCCAUAAGAUUCUGGAUGCCUAAGACCCACUUUAAGGAGGAUUGUUGUUGGAGCAAUAUAAAAGGAGAACAGUAAGGAAGGAUUUCAGCUGAUUUCCCUUGGAAGAGCUUCAUUGAGGCUGAUUUUCCUCCGAGUUGCGUCAGCUGUUCUCUUCGGAGGAGCUCCUCUCUUUCCCUUCACCUUAGACAUCAUCUCCAGGCUUUUGGCACGGACUCUUCAGCUUCCCGCAGCGACCCUUUGACUUCUUUGCCUGACCCUUUGGUCUUCCCUCACGGAUCCUUCGGCCUCCUGAUGCGGAGCCUACGUUGCUGUGGGCUCACAGGCCUCAGCUGGAUCCUUCAGAUUUCUAGCACACAGACAGAUCUCUUGCACUCUUUUACAUUUGAAUCUGCGUGACCACUGUAGGCCGAUCUUGUAAAUUUCUGUGUCCUACAUUAAAUCUGAAUCACAGCGUGUGCUGUCUUUUGAGGAGCCUUGCCCCAACCUGCACGUUCUUCUGAGCCCUGACUAAUACCGUGAUGUACUAUUAGUUUAUAAAACUAGAAAAAAGGACAGAAUUUUUUUUUAAUAAAAAUGAUGCACUGCCUGCCUCGCAAGCCCAAGGUCCCGAAUUUGAUCCCCGGUACAAAAAAAAAAAAAAAAGAUGUUUGAGCAGAUAGCUAUGUUUAGCCUUAUUUGAGCACUGCACAAUAUACACAUGUAUCAGUACAUCUCAUAGAAUUUUAGUGUUUAAAAUUUUUUUAAACAAAUUAUCUCAAAAUGAGUAUACAUUUGAAAGUGAAAUGUAGACAGUAACAUGAGAAAAUCUUCAGGGCCUAAGGCUUUGUGAAGAAUUGCUAGACAUGACAACAAAACAGGAUGUGUAAAAGAAAAAAAAAGGUAAAUGUGAGUUCUCCAAAAUUUAAAAGUUUUAUUCUGAAAAUCAACAAGCUACACAGAAAACAUAUUCACAAAUCACAAAUUCAACAAAAGACUUAUAUCUAAAAGAAUUCUCAAAACAUUAAUUCAACAGUGAAAAAAUCCUUUGUGAGUUAAAUUCAUAUCCUGGUAAAUUACAAAACAAGUGUAUAGCCUAUCACCACUGUAAGCAAAAAUUGUCAUGAUUGCAUGUGUUUCAGAAUAUAUGAUUAAGGAAAGAGUGAAUUUUACUUUUCAGCAUGAACCCUUAGUCUUCUGUUAAAACCAGCUGUACUCAAAAUUGUGCAGGAUUCUGUCCAGUUACCCCAAAUUAUCUUUGGUUUUAGAGAAUCCAAAAUGAAAAUUACUGUAACAAAUAUAUAGCUACAAAGAGAAAGGUUUUCUUUUUGCUCCCAAAGUAACUAAAUGAAACAGAAAGCAAAAGUACCAGAAAACCUUCUGAGAGAGCCCUGUAUUGUUCUAAAUGUCUGUGUUCAGGAAGGGUUGUGACAUGCUGGCCAAAGGAGUUGUUAUUUUUAAUUCCUACAUUUUUAUACACAUAACUACUUUUGAUAGUAACUAAAUUUAUAUGAAUGAUUUAAAAUAAGUUGACUAUUUUCUUGCCUGUGACAUGAAAGUUUUCAUCAAAUAGAUGAUGUUUUUUAAAACCUCUUGGCUAACCUUUUAAUUUUUAAAUACAGACAUAUAUAUUUGAUUUAAUUUUUUUCUGUUCCCUAGUGAACUGAGCACUGCAAAGAUUUCCUUUCCACAGUUCCACCCUCCUGUUCCCUCUGAUGGACCACAGCCCAUAAAACCACCAUCUUGAUGUCACUCUUCCAACAGUUUUGGCCACAUCUCUAUCCACCUUGCAAAAUGACUUCCAGGCCAUGUUCUCUGGCAGCCUCCCCUUCAUCAGAGAAACCUUGCAGCAAGGGAUUGAACUCUGGUCCUUGCACUUGCGCAGCAGGCAGCGAAACCACUGAGCUAAAUCCCUGGUCCUACUUAAGCAACUGCAAGCAUCAUUUUGAGGAUAACAGCCAUGGGAUAGAAAGUUGGAAGGAACCUGGGUCCUGGAUGACAGCAAGGCCACACUGUGUAGAUCCAAAGGAAAUGAAGCCAGCGUCCCAGAGAAACACCUACAUGUCCAUGUUUAUUGUGCUCUACUCAUAAUAGCCAAGGUGUGGACUCUGCCUAAGUGCCUGCCAACAGGUGAAUAGAUGCAGAAAGUAUGGCAUAUAUGCACAGUGGAGUAUUAUUCAGCCAUAAAGAAGAGUGAGAUCCUGUCAUUUGCAGGGAAAUGGGUGGGUCUGGAAGGUCACAAACGUUUCAAGAGACAAAGCUGUAUGGUGCCAGCUAGCUCAACUGCAGAGUGAGAUUCCCAGGUAAGUAACUUGCACUCAAAGUUACCUUUGCUGGGACAUGGUCUUGAGCCCACCUCUUCCCCUGCCACCAUCAUGCGCCUUGUCAGGAGCUCCAAGGAUGGGAGUGGCCUGCUUCACCCAGCCACUCUGAAGCCUUCCAUAUCAUUCUGUCCCUAGCAUCAAUCAAUAUCUAGCACAGUUCUGUGUCACAGGUCUUUCCCCAUAGUAAAUGGCUGUAGUAGAGAAUUAUGUCACAGUGACAAUAUUGUGAGUGUGUGUGUGGGGGGACGACUAAAGAAACUAUGCCAAGGAUAGGGCAUCUCUCUCAGAGUGGACAGGAAGGGAGGAAGGAGAAGAAAAAUCCAUUUUCAU